rnacentral:snoRNA from 1 species
AAGAUUAUAUUUUCAGAGAUCAUUUCUAUAGUUCUUUUUUAGGAAAUGUGUUUUGAAAGUGUUUGUUUCCCAACUCACGAUGAUGCGCUGUGCUGCUUAUUUCUGAGAGUGAGUCAAAGACAGAGCUGUGACUUUGGCUGCAAACUCUGUCAUGGAUGAGUGUUCUUUACUGCUUUUGGCAAUGUUGAGGAAAGGGGUAUGAUCUGAGUGGU